rnacentral:rRNA from 1 species
UUUUUGAAGAGUUUGAUCCUGGCUCAGGAUGAACGCUGGCGGCGUGCCUAAUACAUGCAAGUCGAGCGGUAACACUUCGGGUGACGAGCGGCGGACGGCAGAGUAACGCGUGGGAACGUACCCCAAACUGAGGGAUAAGCACCAGAAAUGGUGUCUAAUACCGCAUGUGAUCUUCGGAUUAAAGCUUCGGCGGUUUGGGAAUGGCCUGCGUCCGAUUAGCUUGUUGGUGAGGUAAAAGCUCACCAAGGCGACGAUCGGUAGCUGGUCUGAGAGGAUGAUCAGCCUGACUGGAACUGA